CCUACGGGAGGCAGCAGUGGGGAAUUUUGCGCAAUGGGGGCAACCCUGACGCAGCAACGCCGCGUGAGUGAUGAAGGCCUUCGGGUCGUAAAGCUCUGUCAGAGGGGAAGAAAUGCAGGUGGUGAACAACCAUUCUGUUUGACGGUACCCUCAAAGGAAGCACCGGCUAACUCCGUGCCAGCAGCCGCGGUAAUACGGAGGGUGCGAGCGUUGUUCGGAAUUAUUGGGCGUAAAGCGCGUGUAGGCGGUUUGUUAAGUCUGAUGUGAAAGCCCUGGGCUCAACCGGGAAAGGGCAUUGGAGACUGGCAGACUUGAGUACGGAAGAGGAGAGGGGAAUUCCCAGUGUAGGAGUGAAAUCCGUAGAUAUUGGGAGGAACACCGGUGGCGAAGGCGGCUCACUGGACCGUAACUGACGCUGAGACGCGAAAGCGGGGGGAGCAA
rnacentral:rRNA from 1 species